CUGAUUUAAGACGGCACUCCCUUGCACUCAUGUUUUCAUCCUCACAUGGGGCAGCAGUUCAGCAAUGCAUGGAUGUUCAAUCCCAUGUGUGUCUUAUGUUACCCUUUAUGGUUCACCUAACUUGAAAAGAAAUAAACCUGUUACAUAAAAAUCAA